UUCAGAUGAUUGGAAAAUGUUAAACCAUGUGCUGGAGAGCCAGGAAGUCUUUAACGAGAUUAUCACUGAGAUGCGCCAGGCCUUCUUUACCCAACUGGAUACAGCACAAGAUGUGUCGCAGACCUUGAAAAGGCUGACAGCAGCAACACAAGAAAGUAAAGAGAUGGUCAAAGAUCUGUCCCAAGCCUUCACUACCCACCUAAUGGAAUACAAACAAG